UCCAUCAUGGCGGCGCUCAUCGGUCACUCAUGCAAAAGGAGAAUAACACGUGCCAACGAGAAAAGCGAACGUCUCGAUUGUGAAUGAACUUAAUGUUUCAUCUUGUUCUUGAAGGAGGAUCUGCUGUGGUGAUCCACAAAAAAAUAAAAGGUGCUGUUAGAAGCCGGAAAGAAGAAAAUGCUGUGAAAGUCGCUCUUUGUAAAAUCGCUGCACCCUUGGAGGAUUGCUGUCGGAAAUGACAAACUUUCAGCGACUGGUUGAGCCAACAAGUGUUCCAGACACUCAUAGAAAUGCCAAUCCAUCCAAAGAUAAAUCAAAGGUGAUGACAUGUUAAUCCGGGCUGAUAGACUGAUGACAUGUCUUCCUGACAAAUGGCUACUGUACGUUCAAUUCGCCCUUUUUUCCUGCUCUGUUCCACAGUCCUGUAAUUGCCAUUUAAAAGUUUUUAGGGUUAAAUUGAUGGAUGUCAGUCUGAACAGUGCGUUACGUCCUUCUAUUGCACUUUAAUUUAUCCUGACAUCAAUCAUUUACCCCCGCAAGCUUCAUUACGGACAAACUCUACGAGAGGGAGAGAGCGCUCUCGGUUUUGUCCUUGUAUCAGAAUUGCCGUAAUAUCAAAUCCUGUUUUCUCUCCUGAGC